UGUUACUUAUAAAUAAAAAAUUCUGGAAUAGUAAUUAUAAUUGAAAUUUAACGGAUUUGGCGGCAAGAUAGCCAUUUAGAGGAACCUGCCCUAUAAACGAUGAACCACGAAUUACUCUACUUUUAUUUGAAGUUCAGUUUGUAUACCGCUGUUGUCAGUUAGUUUCUUUAGAAAACUUUCGUACAUGAAAAAGUCAAAGACUUCAAGUAAAGGUGCAGCUUAUAUAAAAGAUAGAGGUGGGUUACAUUUAUUAGAAUAAUACGGAUAAAGUUUUUGAAAUAACUUUUGAAGGUGGAUUUAAUUGUAAAGUUUAAAUAAACUUGAUGAGAGCUCUGUCUUGUG
rnacentral:rRNA from 1 species